rfam:Triticum aestivum genome assembly, contig: Triticum_aestivum_CS42_TGACv1_scaffold_020062_1AS
AUAUUACUCCCUCCUUUCGGAAAUACUUGUCCUAUAAAUGAAUACAAUGAAUGUAUCUAUAACUAAAAUAAGUCUGGAUACAACCAUUUCUUGGACAAGUAUUUCCGGACGGAGGAAGUACUUU